CCUUUGGCAACGCUAAGGAAAUGAGCCGCAAUGACAUCGCCAGGCUCAACACACUCUACAAGUGCUAGGAAGCCUGUCCAGAUGUGCUGGCAGACAGAUCAGAGGGAAGACUGUCUCCUCGUGCUCACUGAACAACAGAAGCUGCAGACCUGAACUCAUCAGUGCAAUAGUCAAUGAUACAAUAAAAUUACUAAAAUUACA